rnacentral:rRNA from 1 species
UACGUAGGGGGCAAGCGUUGUCCGGAAUCAUUGGGCGUAAAGAGCGCGUAGGCGGUCCGAUAAGUCGGCUGUGAAAGUCAGGGGCUCAACCCUUGGAAGCCGGCCGAUACUGUCGGACUAGAGUCCGGAAGAGGCGAGUGGAAUUCCCAGUGUAGAGGUGAAAUUCGUAGAUAUUGGGAAGAACCACCGGUGGCGAAGGCGGCGACCUGGUCCGAUACUGACGCUGAGGCGCGAAAGCGUGGGGAGCAAACAGG